UACAGGGGGGGCAAGCGUUGUUCGGAAUUACUGGGCGUAAAGGGUUCGUAGGUGGCCAACUAAGUCAUACGUGAAAUCCCUCAGCUUAACUGGGGAACUGCGUCUGAUACUGGUUGGCUUGAGUGCAGGAGAGGAACGCGGAAUUCCAGGUGUAGCGGUGAAAUGCGUAGAUAUCUGGAGGAACACCGGUGGCGAAGGCGGCAUCCUGGACCGAUACUGACGCUGAGGAGCGAAAGCCAGGGGAGCAAACGGG
rnacentral:rRNA from 1 species